CCCUUAGAUGUCCUGGGCCGCACGCGCGCUACACUGAGUGUCUGAGAUACGAGUCUGCCUGGUCCGGCAAGGUCUAGGUAAUCGCUAAAAGACACAUCAUGCUUGGGAUAGAUUAUUGCAAAUAUUAAUCUUGAACGAGGAAUUCCUAGUAAGCGCAAGUCAACAGCUUGCGUUUAUUACGUCCCUGCCCUUUGUACACGCCGCCCGUCGCUACUACUGAUUGGAUGUUUAAGCGAGGUUCUCGAACUGCUAGCGACUUAGCUUCGGUGAGGUCGCAGUGUGGGAAGUGAACCUAGCUUUGGUGUCUAGAGGAAGUAAAAGUCGUAACA
rnacentral:rRNA from 1 species